GUGGGGAAUAUUGCGCAAUGGGCGAAAGCCUGACGCAGCGACGCCGCGUGAGGGAUGAAGGCCUUCGGGUUGUAAACCUCUUUCAGCAGGGACGAAGCCGCAAGGUGACUGUACCUGCAGAAGAAGCACCGGCUAACUACGUGCCAGCAGCCGCGGUAAUACGUAGGGUGCAAGCGUUGUCCGGAAUUAUUGGGCGUAAAGAGCUCGUAGGCGGUCUGUCGCGUCGGACGUGAAAACUCGGGGCUCAACUCCGAGCCUGCGUUCGAUACGGGCAGACUAGAGUUCGGUAGGGGAGACUGGAAUUCCUGGUGUAGCGGUGAAAUGCGCAGAUAUCAGGAGGAACACCGGUGGCGAAGGCGGGUCUCUGGGCCGACACUGACGCUGAGGAGCGAAAGCGUGGGGAGCGAACAGGAUUAGAAACCCCGGUAGUCC
rnacentral:rRNA from 1 species